CCGCUUUCUCGGAGAAUGGAGGUGAGUUUAACGCAAUCCUAAAACAUCGAAGACCGUGCGAUGCGUUUUAGCGUGUAUUUUUUGUGUCCGUCGGUCCCGCAUCGCCUCGUGGUUCCACCGCAGUCCCUUCUGCAGAGGUUGGAUGAUGCAGAAUGAGCUGCCCUUUAUAAAGGAGUCCCAUCAAUCCUACUAGAGAUGGUCCCAGCGAGACUUCUCCAAGAGAUGUUGCAGUGCUGCCUGUGAGGAGACCUCUGUCGUGUGAGCCCAUCUGCUGAUGGCCUGUAGGACGGGUCGAGCUAGUGCAGGUGCUGAUGGCUUGUAGGACUGGUCGAGCUAGUGCUGCUCCUACCCAGCAAGUGGAACAAAUCUGGAAGUUCAUCUGUGUGGUUGUUUAACUCUACUUGUAUGAUUUAUCAAGUCUAUAAAUAAAAGACCCUUUGGCUGA